rnacentral:rRNA from 1 species
CUGAGUGACUAGCUACUGAAUCUUUGGUGUGUCAUCAAAGAUAACGUAAAGGAAAAUAAUGAUAUUACUUUACUAUUAGUGUCGUCCAAAUACUCGUGCCAGAAGACUCGGUAAGGCGAGAGACGCUAACGUUAUUCGUCUUGAUCAGGCGUAAAGGGUGUGUAGGCUGCUUUAAGUAUUUAUAUCUAAGUUUACCUUUUUUAAAUUUGGAUUGGUUUAACUAAAUUAAAUCAAAAACAACUUUUUAUUUUUAUAAAUAAUUACAGUUAACUAAUUUAAAAGUGUUAAUAUAACUCAAUUAAAGCUAGAAUCUAAAAGAGGUUAAAACAAUGUUUAAGGUAGGAGUACUAACCGAAAAUAUUAAAUAGAGUGCUAACGGCGAAGGCAUUUAUCCACUAAAGAUUGACGCUGAGAAACGAAAGUGAGGGCAGAAAAAAGGAUUAGAGACCCUUGUAUUCCUCACUGUAAACGAUGAAUGGUAGUUACUAGUAAGAAAUUAACUAGAGGCGAUGUUAACACGAAAACCAUUCCGCCUUGUGAGUACAACUGCAAAGUUGAAAACAAAAAAAUUAGUCGGUUUCGGAGCAAACGAAGUGAAGCAUGUUAUU